GACGAACGCUGGCGGCGUGCUUAACACAUGCAAGUCGAACGGAAAGGCCUCUUUCGGGGGGUACUCGAGUGGCGAACGGGUGAGUAACACGUGAGUAACCUGCCCUUGACUUUGGGAUAACUUCCGGAAACUGGGGCUAAUACCGGAUAGGCGCUCCUGCUGCAUGGUGGGGGUUGGAAAGUUUCGGCGGUUGGGGAUGGACUCGCGGCUUAUCAGCUUGUUGGUGGGGUAGUGGCUUACCAAGGCUUUGACGGGUAGCCGGCCUGAGAGGGUGACCGGCCACAUUGGGACUGGGAUACGGCCCAGACUCCUACGGGAGGCAGCAGUGGGGAAUAUUGCACAAUGGGUGGAAGCCUGAUGCAGCAACGCCGUGGGCGGGAUGACGGCCUUCGGGUUGUAAACCGCUUUCGCUCAUGACGAAGCUUUGUGUGACGGUAGUGGGUAAAGAAGCACCGGCUAACUACGUG
rnacentral:rRNA from 1 species